GGGGGAUAACGUUUCGAAAGGAACGCUAAUACCGCAUACGUCCUACGGGAGAAAGGGGGGGAUCUUCGGACCUCUCGCUAUUGGAUGAGCCCAAGUCGGAUUAGCUAGUUGGUGAGGUAAAGGCUCACCAAGGCGACGAUCCGUAGCUGGUCUGAGAGGAUGAUCAGCCACACUGGAACUGAGACACGGUCCAGACUCCUACGGGAGGCAGCAGUGGGGAAUAUUGGACAAUGGGCGAAAGCCUGAUCCAGCCAUGCCGCGUGUGUGAAGAAGGCCUUCGGGUUGUAAAGCACUUUAAGCGAGGAGGAAUGGCUCUUGGUUAAUAACCUUGAGCAGUGACGUUACUCGCAGAAUAAGCACCGGCUAACUCUGUGCCAGCAGCCGCGGUAAUACAGAGGGUGCAAGCGUUAAUCGGAAUUACUGGGCGUAAAGCGCGCGUAGGCGGUUGUAUAAGUUGGGUGUGAAAUCCCCGGGCUCAACCUGGGAAUUGCACUCAAAACUGUACGGCUAGAGUGUGGGAGAGGAAGGUAGAAUUCCAGGUGUAGCGGUGAAAUGCGUAGAUAUCUGGAGGAAUACCGAUGGCGAAGGCAGCCUUCUGGCCUAACACUGACGCUGAGGUGCGAAAGCAUGGGGAGCAAACAGGAUUAGAUACCCUGGUAGUCCAUGCCGUAAACGAUGUCUACUAGCCGUUGGGGGACUUGAUCCUUUAGUGGCGCAGCUAACGCAUUAAGUAGACCGCC
rnacentral:rRNA from 1 species